CUUAAUGAUUAUCAAUUUUUCCUUUUAGAAUAUAGUUGAUUUGGGGAGGAAAAUUUAUUCUGCACAAUAACAAUCAUUAAAAGGGGACAGUUUUUGCCCAUUUAAAGUGCAGAAGUGAAAAUACAAAAUAAGGCUGAUUUUUUUUUUUAACUUGUAAAAAAAUUCCCAAGAAUGAAUUUCGAUAGCAGCAUUGCUGGCUAAAGAGUCUAACAAAGGAAAAACUGAAUCUGAUAAGUAGAAGUCUAGUAUCUAUAUUUUGAAAUACUGUACUAUAGUUACACUUUAAAACACUGUAUCAGGUUCCCAUAUUUUCAGUUUUAACUAUCAUCACUUAAUGAUUUAAUCAUUAAAUUUAAAAUUCUGUGCCAUGGUUUAUAUGUUCAAAUUCAAAUCAUUUUAAAAUGUGACAAAUGAAUUUCAUGCAAGUUGCCAAUAGUUCUGGUACUAAAAAUUAUGGUUGUGUUUUCUGUUUACAUAACCUAUUUAGUAUUAUCCCUGUGUCCAGAGGGCAUUCCUU
rnacentral:lncRNA from 1 species